GAUGAAGAACGUAGCGAAAUGCGAUAAGUAAUGUGAAUUGCAGAAUUCAGUGAAUCAUCGAAUCUUUGAACGCACAUUGCGCCCCCUGGUAUUCCGGGGGGCAUGCCUGUUCGAGCGUCAUUUCACCACUCAAGCCUCGCUUGGUAUUGGGCAACGCGGUCCGCCGCGUGCCUCAAAUCGACCGGCUGGGUCUUCUGUCCCCUAAGUGUUGUGGAAACUAUUCGCUAAAGGGUGUUCGGGAGGCUACGCCGUAAAACAACCCCAUUUCUAAGGUUGACCUCGGAUCAGGUAGGGAUACCCGCUGAACUUAAGCAUAUCAAUAAGCGGAGGA
rnacentral:misc_RNA from 1 species